rnacentral:lncRNA from 1 species
CGCAGAGCUGCACCCCGCCCCCGCCAAGCACUGCCGCACCCCGCGGCUCUGCAGCCUCUUUAGCGGCACCAGGACAGGUCCCCGGCACGUGUGUUCACUGAUGAGACGCUCCGGUUGCCUCAGCAUGUCUGCCCUUCAGGCCUCCAUCCCGGGGCCAGCGCCGACCCGGGCACUGCAUACAGACAAACGAGGUCUCUGUUCUCCAGGAGCUUAGGGCGGGGGGGCGACGGCGGCUAACGUGAAGUGUGGAAAGUGCGUGCACGAGAGGGUGGUGGGCCCAACUGUGCAGAGCCUGGGCGCGUGUGGCUGUCUUUGGCUUUUUGACUAGAGGGCAUUUCACGGGGUGUCUGGGCAGGGCACUGGGUCACAGGGAUCAGCAACACCAAAGCCUGCAGUCCAAGGAGUGGCCUCAGCAUGGCUCAGACAUAGGAAGGGGCAGUGGGGCUGGUGCUGUGGGCACCAGGGACUCCCAGUGAGGGGCCUGGCUUCCUGGCACAGCCACAGGGGAAGACUGAGGGGCCCGGGCACCAAGUAGGGGAGACAUUAGCAGGCCACUGCCAUCGUCCAGAGCGGGGUGGAGGUGACAGGCAUGGCGGGACCUGGGGUGGACCCGAGGGCAGAGCUGCUGUGCUGGCGAGGUGAGGAGGCAAAGGCCCCACGCGAGACUGAACUCAGUAUAGCACGUGCGCCGGGAAGCACACACGACCACAAGAUGGGAAGGGAGGCUGGGAGUGGAGGCUCACACCUGCAGUCCCAGCACUGUGGGAGGUGUAAGCCCCCAUGCUCGGCCAACUUCUGUUAAGUCACCCGGUUUGUGGCACUUUGUCAUAGCAGCCCCAGGAGACUAAUAAGGAAUAGAUAAAACUUCAUUUUCAAAUGGACACACUACGUUUUCCUACAGCGCUGCUGUGGAGCUGGGCUUCUACAGGGGAUGCUCAGGGCAAACCCCUCCUCGCCCGUGUCCAAGUGGAAGGUGGCAGGGCCCCAGGGCACCCAGACUCCACCCCACCUGGGCUGCGGCAGGAGAACUGCUUGAACCCAGGAGUCGGAGGUUGCAGUGAGUGGAGAUCGCGCCACUGCACUCCAGCCUGGGUGACAGAGUGAGACUCCAUCUCUCUCUCUCUCUCUCUCUCUCUCUCUCUCUCUCUCACACACACACACACACACACACACACACACACACACACACACACACACACACACUGAGUUUCAGGCCAGGCGCAGUGGCUCAUGCCGGUAAUCCCGGCACUUUGGGAGGCCAAAGUGGGCAGAUCACCUGAGGUCAGGGGUUCGAGACCAGCCUGGCCAACAUGGUGAAACCUUGUCUCUACUAAAAAUACAAAAAUCAGCCAGGCGUGGUGGUGCAGGCUGUAAUCCCAGCUACUUGGGAGGCUAAGGCAGGAGAAUCGCUUGAACCCAGGAGGCAGAGGUUGCAGUGAGCCGAGAUCGCACCACUGCACUCUAGCCUGGGCGAAAGAGUGAGACUCUGUCUUAAAAAAAUAAAAACAAAAGUAAAAAUAGUUUAAAACUAGGAGCAGCCUGAAGGCUCCUCAUGCCAGCGCCAUCCUCCGUGCACCUGCCAGCGCUUACUGACGCCGUCUCUGGGUCAGGUGUUCUGAGGCUGCUGGGGAUACACAGAGACCCUGUGUCCAAGGCAGCCCACACAUGCUGACUGUGGGGGGGUUGGCCUGCACCCGCGGUCCCUUCCGUAACUAAAGACUGCGGUGUCGGCCGCCUCAGGCAUGGCUACUAAAGACCCGCACAGACGGCCACAUAGUGUACACUCCAAUUACAGGAUCUGUCUGGAAGGCAGGUCCCUGGGGACAGAAGGUAGACGGGUGGGUGCCCGGGGGAGGGGGAAGGCGGGUUCACGCUAACGGGCACAGGGUCUGUUUUCGGGGUGAUGAAAACGUUCUGGAAUUUGCAGUUUGACAGUUGCACAACCUUCUGAACAUACAAAAAAACCACUGAAUUAUAUAAAGUGGUGAAUUUUAUGGUAUGUGAAUCAUAUAUCCCAUUUGAAAAGCAGACUGACAAAAAUUUGUUUCUAGGCAGGAAACAGGAAACUGG